rnacentral:snRNA from 1 species
AUACUCACUUUGGCAGCACAUAUACUAAAAUUGGAAUGAUAUAGAAGUUAACAUCACCCCUGCACAAGGGUGACACGCAAAUUUGUGAAGUGUUCCAUGUUUUU